GAUGAACAAAGAUAGCCUCAGGGCGUGCGAUGUUAGGGGCGUCCCCGGUGCACUUGAUGGAGAUCAGUCUGGAAACGAGGCUGGACCUGCUCAAAAGUGGCCUGUGGAGAGGUCAGUUUUAUCCAGGGGGGAGGGGGAAUGAUCCAAGGGCUGAGCAGGGACAGGGCAUCAAGUUCCAGUGUCACCUAGGGGCUCGCUAUGCAAAGUGUGGUCCCGGUCCAGUGGCUUUAGUGUCUCUGGUUAGCAAUGCAGACUCUGAGCCGCCAGCCAGAUCCCUGGAAUCAAAGCCUGCGUUGGAAUGAAAUCCGAGAAGUCCUGUCCUAGGACCUGGGGUGGUGGGGGUGAGGCACCCGGGCAGUGGAAGGGGAGCCGUCCGGGGGUCAGGGGCCCAGGGAGCGGGGGCAGCUGCCAGGUGUCCCCCUGGGUGCGGGUGAGAUGCCUCCCGGAAUGUGGGCUGUGAGCGGGCUGGGGGAGCAGGGGCGGAGGAGGAGUGUGCUUGGGGCACGCUGCAUCUCCCGGGGCCUCAGCGGAUGGGGCCUGGAACUCGGAAAGCACAGACGUCCAUUCGCGGCGGAUUUUAGGGAACUGGCUGGCCUUGAGUCUUGGAGGUUUUGUCGACUUUUGCAGACCAUCCGUUUGAUGAUCCUGCCUCCAGCGCUGUCAGGGCUCCACGUCGACGUUACCAGAUGGCCUUACGUCAGCAUCUCCGGGGAUGGCUCUUCCUUCAGCCUCUUCCUAUGGAGUACAUCCUUGUUACCCAGGCCAUCAGGAGACCUGGACAAAGCAAAGGGCUGUCUCACAGCAGCUUGUGACUCAUGAUCAGAUUAUAACAUUCACAUCAUGGGUUGUGGCUGUAAGUGCAUAAAACAGACAGAGGUAGAUUUGCUUAAAGCUAAUGAAGCUCAGAUUACGGGGCCCCUCACUUUAUAGGUUACUUCCACGCCAUGAUAAUUACUAUGGCAAAUUCUAUAUAAAAACAUGACCACACAUCUACUGAGCAUGAGAGAGGGAGAGGUCUAUUUCUUUCCACUCUGACAUUCUGUCCACCAUUAUUUCUUUCACAAUGGUUGGCCUUGAGGUGAAACCUGGGCUUUUGGGACCUGACAAAGGCUGAGUUGAGGAGGGGAUACAUUUGGUUUUCAUUUAGUGAGAUCUGUUAUGUGAUUUUUUUGGUCAGGUUUGAGAAAGUCUCGAGUUCUUUCAUGCUCAGAAUUUGGAAAAAUUGCUCAAGGGCAAGUUUUUGGUGUACAUACAUGGACAUCCAAUGCUAGAUGCUUUAGGACAUGUUAGCAAACCUGUCGAUAAUAAAAUAAUGAACUUCAGUUCCA
rnacentral:lncRNA from 12 species